AACGCACAUGGCGCCUUCCAGUAUCCUGGGAGGCAUGCCUGUCCGAGCGUCGUUUCAACCCCUCGGGCCCCCCGUGGCCCGGCGUUGGGGACCUGCCACGGCAGGCCCCGAAAAGCAGCGGCGGACCCUCCGGGCCCUCUCCUUGCGUAGUAGCAUCAGCCUCGCAUCGGGAGCCCGGGCGGCGUACGGCCCCUAAACCCCCUAAAAGCCCGCCCCCGCGCGGCACCAAGGUUGACCUCGGAUCAGGUAGGAAUACCCGCUGAACUUAA
rnacentral:misc_RNA from 1 species